GCAGAGAGGAGAGCAGGGAAGAGGCGGAGACUGGGACUCUGCAGGACGACUGAUGAGCACAGCUGGCAAUGAGGCCCCCAUCUGAUUCUGGAGUCAGGGGCUGAAAGCUGGGCAUACAGGACUAUUCAAGACAAGUGCUGGACGUGGUGGCUCAUGCCUAUAAACCCAGCACUUUGGGAGACCAAGGCAGGAAGAUGGCUUGAACCCUGGAGUUAGAGACCAGCUUGAGCAACAUAUCAAGAACCCAUCUCUACAAAAAGUUUUCUAAAAAAUUAGCCAGGCAUGGUGGUGUGAUCCUGUAGUCCCAGAUACUCGGGAGGAUGAAGUGAGAGGAUCACUUGAGCCCGAGAGGUUGAGGCUGUAGUGAGCCAUGAUCGUACUACUGCACUCCAGCCUAGGCAACAGAGCAAGACCGUGUCUCAAAAAAUAAAAUAAAGAGACAGGGUCUUGCUUUAUUGCUCAGGCUGGAGUGCAGUGGUAUGGUCACGGAUCAGUGCAGCCUCGAACACCCGGGCUCGAGAUCCUCCUGCCUUGGCCUCCCAAAAUGCUGGGAUUACAAGCAUGAGCCCUGUGCCUGGCCAAGAAACAUCUUUGAUGCCUACUGUGUGGCAGGCACCAUGCUAGACAUAGGAGGGAUACUGAGAUGGGUGAGAUACAGGAUAUCCUUGCUCUCAAGGAGCUUUGGUGCAGUGGGGAGCUCAGAUACACACAGAAGAGAGGUGAAAAGGAGGCCAAGGCCGGGCGCAGUGGCUCAUGUCUGUAAUCUCAGCACUUUGGGAGGCCGAGGUGAGCGGAUCAUUUGAGGUGAGGAGUUCAAGACCAGCCUGAUCAAUAUGGUGAAACCCCAUCUCUAUUAAAAAUACAAAAAAUUAGCUGGGCGUGGUGGCGUGCGCCUGUUAUCCCAGCUACUCAGGAGGCUGAGGCAGGAAAAUAGAUUGAAACCGGGAGGCGGAGGUUGCAGUGAGCUGAGAUUGCACCACUGCACUCCAGCCUGGGUGACAGAGUGAGACUCCACCUCAAUUUAAAAAAAAAAAAAAAAAAAGGGAUGCCUGGAGGAGGGAGGGGCUACCUGUCACUGAGAAUCCAGGAAAUCUUCUAGAAGUGAAGUUGGAGCUAAACUGUGAAGGAUGAGGCCAUGCACAGUGGCUCAUGCCUCUAAUCGCAGCACUGUGGGAGGCUGAGGCAGGUGGAUCACCUGAGGUCAGGAGUUUGGGACCAGCCUGGCCAGUAUGGCAAAGCCCCAUCUCUACUAAAAAUACAAAAAGUUAGCUGGGCGUGGUGGUGGGCGCCUAUAGUCCCAGCUACCUGGGAGGCUGAGGCAGGAGAAUCACUUCAACCUGGGAAGCAGAGUUUGCAGUGAGCUGAGAUUGUACCAUUGCAUUCUAGCCUAGGCAACAAGAGUGAAACUUCAUCUCAAAAACAAACAAACAAACAAAAACCGUGAAGGCUGAAUAGAAGCUCAUAGGUGAAGAAGGCGGGAAAGAUAUCCCACAAAGAGAACAGCAUGGACAGAGGUCUAAGGACAUGAAAACUUCUGGAAUAUGUGGAAAUAGGAGUUCAGUCUAGAAGGAGGGUUGGAUGUGAGCCGCUGACAGAGGUCAGUGUCAGGAGGAGAUGAGACGAAGUAAUUAAUGACCAACCGGAGGAGGUCGAGGCUGCAGUGAGCUAUGAUCACACCAUUGCAGCCUGGGUGACAGAGUGAAACACUGUCUCUUAAAAAUAAAAUAAAAUAAAAUAAAAUAAAAUAAAAUAAAAUAAAAUAAAAUAACAAAAUAAAACCAAUGGGUUCAUGCCUACAACUGUUUUUAUUUGUUUAUUUUUCUUUCUUUCUUUUUUUUUUGAGACGGAGUCUUGCUCUGUCACCCAGGCUAGAGUGUAGUAGCGCCAUCUUGGCUCACUGCAACCUCUACCUGCCGGGUUCAAGCAAUUGUCUGCCUCAGCCUCCCGAGUAGCUGGGAUUACAGGUGCCCGCAGUUACGCCUGGCUAGUUUUUGUAUUUUUAGUAGAGAUGGGGUUUUACCAUCUUGGCCAGGCUGGUCUUCAACUCAUGAUCUCGUGAUCCACCUGCCUCCGCCUCCCAAAGUGCUGGGAUUACAGGCAUGAGCCACUGCACCGGGCCUUCUCUGUUUCGUCUUAGAAAGAGAGUCUUGCUUUGUCACCCAGACUAGAGUGCAGUCAUGCACCACUAAAGCCUCAAACUCCUGAGCUCAAACAAUCCUCCCACUUUGGCCUCCUGAGUAGCUGGGACCACAGGCAAG